rnacentral:rRNA from 1 species
UACGUAGGUGGCAAGCGUUGUCCGGAAUUAUUGGGCGUAAAGCGCGCGCAGGCGGUCCUUUAAGUCUGAUGUGAAAGCCCACGGCUCAACCGUGGAGGGUCAUUGGAAACUGGGGGACUUGAGUACAGAAGAGGAAAGCGGAAUUCCACGUGUAGCGGUGAAAUGCGUAGAGAUGUGGAGGAACACCAGUGGCGAAGGCGGCCUGCUGGGACAGUGCUGACGCUGAGGCGCGACAGCGUGGGGAGCAAACAGG